UUGACGAGACAACGCUUUCAAACGCUUCAUAAACUUCAAAAACUACGCGUCCCUUCCUCUUCUUAACCAAACCCAAACAAAAACCCUAAGUUUCUCUCUCAUCACUCUCUCUCUCUCUCUACACUCUGUCUGUGCGUUUGCUCUUCGAAUUUUGCAGGAUUCGAUUCCAGUUUCCUUCAACGUAGAUCGCGUGUUCUCCUUCGUACUGUGAAAUUCGCGCGCGCAAUCCAUGAAUGGAAGACAAGGACAGAGCAACCUCCGAUCCCGCCGCGGUUGAGUUUGCCGGCGACACGAGUUGGACAUUCGCCGCCGAUGGCUCAGACGCCGCCUACUUGUUCUCCGGCGAUGGAGAGCGAAGCGUACUCAGGGAAUUCGGGUGGAACCUCGAACCGGACCAGUUGAACCGGAUCGGCACCGACGACGGAUUGUGGAUGCCGGUUCAAUCCUCUCUGACCUGUUCGAUUGAACCGGCCGCUGCUGCAUCGUCGCGGUCGAAUAACCAGUCGGUGUCGUCGAGCUCCAGCGAGGAUCAGCCGGAGAAAUCCACAGUCUCUGACGAGAAACCGCCUGAGAUACCUGAUAUAUUUUGUAGGAUUAAAGGUAAAAAGAAGGGGCAAAAGCGAAUACGGCAGCCACGGUUUGCAUUUAUGACCAAGAGUGAAGUUGAUCAUCUUGAAGAUGGCUACAGAUGGCGGAAGUAUGGUCAGAAGGCAGUUAAAAAUAGCCCAUUCCCUAGGAGCUACUACCGCUGCACAAACAGCAAAUGCACGGUGAAGAAGAGGGUUGAACGCUCUUCCGAGGACCCAACGAUUGUGAUUACCACAUAUGAAGGCCAACACUGUCAUCACACCGUUGGAUUUCCUCGAGGAGGAAUCAUUAGUCACGAGGCUGCUGCCUUUGCGGGCCAGUUGGCUCCUACAAUGUCGCAGUUUUAUUAUCCAAUUCAUUUACCCAGAGAGACUAAUAAUAUAAAUACUGUCAGCUCCAUCUCUCAGCCAUGCCAAGCACAGGAUGAUGCAUCUGGAGGAUCCAGCGCUGUAAUGCCAGCUGAUGCAUCGUCACUGCAGCCUCCUACGGAUGAAGGUUUGCUUGGAGAUAUUGUACCUCCGGGAAUGCGUACCAGAUGACAGAAUAAUUUCAUGAUCUGCUUUCAUGUGGUCAUGACACACGCAUCAUUACCAUCAUAAAGCAUAUCUUUAGUGGCUACGAACUUCUCUGGCAGAACCUCAAUUAUAUUGACUAAUGAUGUGGUUUUAAGGAGCACUUAGACAUCUUAUGUUAAAGUAUGAUUGGAGACAAAGGAAUUCAAAGGUUUUGUAUUUGAUGGGCCAAUAAUCGUUGCGAUCGAUGAUUUGAUUCAGCUGAUGAUGGGUAGAAGUGGAGCAGAGAAAAUGCAUGGACAUGCAUGCAUUUUUGUUUCCUGUAGACUCUGAACAAGUAGGCCACAAGCGGCAUCAAUUUUUUUCCUUUAGCAGGAAGUCCCUUUUAGCCAUCUAUUGUCUCGAGAAGCGAAUAUAGUAUUUAUGCAUGGUACCUUACAACCUCGGUAGCAGGUAAUUAUCUAUCUUGGGUUAUAUUUUGACCAUGACUAAGUAUCAUUCAUUUAGUGACAGUUAUUAUGUAUGUACACAAUUAUUAGAUUAUUAUUUAAGCAAUAGCCAAUGUAUAUUAAGGAAGCUCUUUUUCAACUAAAAUUUCUCCUUGAGAUUGUACAACAUGUAUGAAACCUAAAUUCCCUCAUGUAAUCUUCACAAUUCAUAAUCCAUGUAAAACUACAUAUUUUGUCCACCUAAGCGAAUAUAGUUUUGUUUUAUGUUGAAAUUAUUGUAAGUAAGUGGGAUUGAUGGUUGAGGCAUUGAUUAUAAUAAUUAUAAUAACUGGGUUGUGGUGUGUUUUGAAUAAUAUUGCGUGGUUAUUAGACAUUAAUGUUUGAUAAUGUACGUGGCG